GACGAACGCUGGCGGCGUGCUUAACACAUGCAAGUCGAACGAAGUGGCGAACGGGUGAGUAAUACGUGGGUAACCUGCCCUCCUUUUUGGGAUAAGCCUUGGAAACGGGGUCUAAUACCGAAUCAAGGGGGAUGGGCUCGCGGCCUAUCAGCUUGUUGGGGGGGUGAGGGCCUACCAAGGAGGUGACGGGUAGCCGGCCUGCGAGGGUGACCGGCCAAAGUGGGACUGAGCUACGGGCCAGGCUCCUACGGGAGGCAGCAGUGGGGGAUAGUGCACAAUGGGCGAAAGCCUGAUGCAGCGACGCCGCGUGGGGGAUGAAGGCUUUCGGGUUGUAAACCUCUGUCGCUAUCGAACGGGUAGGUGUAGAAGAAGCGCCGGCUAACUACGUGCCAGCCGCCGCGGUAAUAC
rnacentral:rRNA from 1 species